rnacentral:lncRNA from 1 species
CUGGUGGUCCGGUGGCUAAGACUCUGUGAUCCCAAUGCAGGGAGCACGGGAUCGAUACCUGGUUGGGGAAGUAAGAUCCUGCAUGUGUUGCAAUGUGGCCAAAAAAAAAAAAAAAGAAAGAAACUGCCUCCAGCAGCUGGAGUGGCUGGAGCUGGAAGGUCUCACUUGGUGAAGACAGCCAGGAAGCUGGGACCUCUCUUUUGGUUAUGGACCGUGCUGGGACGUCGCUUCAACACAGCCAACAGAGAGAGCUUCCCUUGUGGCUCAGACAGUAUAGAGUCUGCCUGCAAUGAAGGAAACCCAGGUUUGAUCCCUGGGUCAGGAAGAUCUCCUGGAGAAGGAAAUGGCAACCCGCUCCAGUGUUCUUGCCUGGAGAAUCCCAUGGACAGAAGAGCCUGGUGAGCUCCCCUUUGCACCUCUGCGGUAGACGGAGGACAGUGGUGUCUACCUCACUGUUGUUUCUUGUUUAUAACACUGCUUGGCCCAUAGGAAGUACAGAG